AGCAGCCGCGGUAAUUCCAGCUCCAAUAGCGUAUAUUAAAGUUGUUGCAGUUAAAAGGCUCGUAGUUGAAUUUCGGGGUCAGUAGGUUGGUCGUGCCACCGGUACGUACUGGUCUCACUGAUUCCUCCUUCCUGAUGAGCUGUAAUGCCAUUAAUUUGGUGUUGCAGGGAAUCUGGACUGUUACUUUGAAAAAUUAGAGUGUUUAAAGCAGGCUAACGCUUGAAUACAUUAGCAUGGAAUAAUGAAAUAGGACGUUCGAUCCUAUUUUGUUGGUUUCUAGGAUUGACGUAAUGAUUAAUAGGGAGUAGUUGGGGGCGAUUAGUAUUCAAUUGUCAGAGGUGAAAUUCUUGGAUUUAUUGAAGACUAACUACUGCGAAAGCUAUUUGCCAAGGAUGUUUUCAUUAAUCAAGAACGAAAGUUAGGGGAUCGAAGACGAUCAGAUACCGUCGUAGUCUUAACCAUAAACUAUGCCGACUAGGGAUCGGAUGAUGUUAAUUUUUUAAUGACUCAUUCGGACCG
rnacentral:rRNA from 1 species